UUGUUUUUUUGUUUUUUUGAGGCGCUGGGAUUGGAGCUCAGGGUAAUCGUUCUGCCACUGAUCAACAUCCUUGAGAAGUUGUGAUAGAGACCACAAAGCAGAAAACACUAUCAUCUGCCCCCCUAAGAAAAACAUGUAUCGAACUUUGCUGAGGCUGAGGACCAAGGAAACCAUUCUGAAGAAAAGCAGCCUGGCAGGGAGAACAGGAUGUGAGCAGCUUUUGCAGGGACUGAUACAGCACAAGCCACCUGCCAACUCUGCAUCCUGCCUCCAACAAGCUGGAGGAACUUAGCUCUACAGAAGCCGUGUUUCUGGGAGAAGGCUGGGCCCAGCUUCCUACAUGGGUGUUUGACAGAAAGAACCUGAGGCCGGUCCCUCCAGACCUAACCCGAACCCUGGCCCCAGGCACGCCUCACUCUGACCCGUGUCUUUCACAGGCCCCUCUGCAGAGCUCAAAGCUUCAUCCCAUGGAAGAAAUAUGAAGCCAGCAGCCGGGCCCCUUGCUUCCCUCUGCUCCCUGAUCCUUUAAUCGGAGAUGAUUAAAACUUCAUUCCAUUCUUAUUGGGAAACCAUCCAUCACCCUCACCAAGGAGCCCUGGCCGCGAGACAGCAGGAGGGCGGCUGGCAGAGAGGGGAGGCCGUGGGCCUGGAAGACCAGGGAGUACAGACCCCUGCCAGCCUCCUGGCCCCUGGGCAGAGCCAGGGUUGCCGGGCUGUGUGCUCUCGACGAGGACAAGGUCCCUGGUGAGGGACAGGAGGCAGAGGCAGUGUCCCGUGUACCAGGCAGGUGCUGAGGGGGAGCCUGGAGGCUGCUCCUGGGACCCCUGUGGGUGGGGCAGUGUGCCCACCAGUGGUGCCCCUCCUGAGCACCCAUGGGCGCAGGGGACUUGGUCCUUCUCCCUGGGUGGCUCCACGCUCCCUUCUCUUCCCAGAUGCCCACCCAGGCCCCAGCCCCAGACUCGCCCUGGCCUCAGGGAACCGCAGCCAGUCGGGGCCCUUUUAGGUGGCCUCACAGAAACAUGACAGCAGUUUGGAGCUUGCAGGAUUAUGGGUCCUUUUCUUAAUUAAAAAAAAUCCAAUUAAAU